rnacentral:rRNA from 1 species
UACGUAGGUGGCAAGCGUUGUCCGGAUUUACUGGGCGUAAAGAGCGCGCAGGCGGUCGAAUAAGUCGAAUGUGAAAGCCCCCGGCUCAACUGGGGAGGGUCAUUCGAUACUGUUCGACUUGAAGGCAGGAGAGAGAAGCAGAAUUCCCGGUGUAGUGGUGAAAUGCGUAGAUAUCGGGAGGAAUACCAGUGGCGAAGGCGGCUUCUUGGCCUGUUCUUGACGCUGAGACGCGAAAGCGUGGGGAGCGAACAGG